rnacentral:rRNA from 1 species
GACGAACGCUGGCGGCGUGCUUAACACAUGCAAGUCGAACGGUGAACCAGAGCUUGCUCUGGGGAUCAGUGGCGAACGGGUGAGUAACACGUGGGCAACCUGCCCAGACUCUGGGAUAACUCCGGGAAACCGGAGCUAAUACCGGAUACGACUACUUCGGACAUCCGACGGUAGUGGAAAGUUUUUCGGUCUGGGAUGGGCCCGCGGCCUAUCAGCUAGUUGGUGGGGUAAUGGCCUACCAAGGCGACGACGGGUAGCCGGCCUGAGAGGGCGACCGGCCACACUGGAACUGAGACACGGUCCAGACUCCUACGGGAGGCAGCAGUGGGAAUAUUGCACAAUGGGCGAAAGCCUGAUGCAGCGACGCCGCGUGAGGGACGACGGCCUCGGUUGUAACCGUACUUC